CAUCGGGUACCCAAGAAAGAUCUUCGGCAUCAACGGAUCCAUACACAUCUACUCGCUCUCCGUCUUUCUUCUAAACUAAACAAUUUCUCUUUUCUUUAGCCUCUGAGUCUUCAACAGGUUCCGGUGGACUCUUUUUCAAUUCGGCUUGGACCCUUUGGUCCUCAAGGUCCGGGACGGGUCGGCGGAACUUUCACUCACGUUAGUGAAAGGUCGAACCUGAGGUGGUUCUGGGGCCAUAGAUAUGACUAGAAAGUGCCAGUUGAAGUUCCCCUCCAGGAAGCAGGGUAAAGGGCUAGGGCAGACACAAGUUAAGAGCGAGGGGAAAGGAUAAAGGGUGCGUAGUUCUUACCCGCUUUAUCUGGUAGGUAUAGUAGGGUUAACUAGAGAUCUUUUCCUGGGAGUUUGUUUACACCUCUUCUAUUUGAAAUUCCAUUUGUAAGCUAAGCUUAUUCGAGUUCUAAGCAUAACAUAUCUCUUACUUGAAAAUAUGUAGUGAAAAUGUACUAACCGUGGCUAUCCUGCUUAAUCUUGAGGUUGUGUUAGUGAGCUGGUUUAUGCAUAACGAAAACCUAACCUUUACCUAAGAAAGAAUGGAAUUGUUAAGAUUUACCUAAUAGUAAUAGGGGCUAGGGGCUGUUCUCGCGAUUGAUUGAAGUAUGCUUGCUUCUCUGCUAAAUGAGAAUGUGGGUGGAUUCGAAGACCUCCUUUUCAGAAGUGAGAGAAGGGACUCCACCAUCAUGAAUCCCCUUCUAGUGGAAGCGAGUGCAGGUACUGAGUAGGUCGGACUCUCUCUUCUUUCUCGUUUCGGGUAUGCUUACGAGCGAGGAUAUCUUGGAAAGUAUAACUCGGGACCAUCUGACCGGACUACCAAGCUUGACUAUCAAGCCGUUAUCUUUCAUUUAGUCAAUACCAGUGCCUGCUACGCUUAGCUUACUCAUUGAAGGAGUGGUGCUUGAAUAAAGGGAAUCCAAUAUUGAAUACAGUGCAGCAACGAAUUAUCAUUGUUAUUGUUUAUUUGCUUUGUUCCAUUCUUUGACUGCUCUGCUCCCCCCAAAAAUGAAGAAAGACUUGUCGGAAAUAAAAUCACCGGUUGGCGUAGGGCUUUAUUGAAUAUUUAAUAUGUGCUUUGUUAUAGGAAAUAUAGGAAUUCCCCCGUACUAAGUAGGGUGCUGUUCUGUUCCCUNNNNN
rnacentral:lncRNA from 1 species